rnacentral:rRNA from 1 species
AGAGUUUGAUCCUGGCUCAGGAUGAACGCUGGCGGCGUGCCUAAUACAUGCAAGUCGAGCGAACGGACGAGAAGCUUGCUUCUCUGAUGUUAGCGGCGGACGGGUGAGUAACACGUGGAUAACCUACCUAUAAGACUGGGAUAACUUCGGGAAACCGGAGCUAAUACCGGAUAAUAUUUUGAACCGCAUGGUUCAAAAGUGAAAGACGGUCUUGCUGUCACUUAUAGAUGGAUCCGCGCUGCAUUAGCUAGUUGGUAAGGUAACRGCUUACCAAGGCAACGAUGCAUAGCCGACCUGAGAGGGUGAUCGGCCACACUGGAACUGAGACACGGUCCAGACUCCUACGGGAGGCAGCAGUAGGGAAUCUUCCGCAAUGGGCGAAAGCCUGACGGAGCAACGCCGCGUGAGUGAUGAAGGUCUUCGGAUCGUAAAACUCUGUUAUUAGGGAAGAACAUAUGUGUAAGUAACUGUGCACAUCUUGACGGUACCUAAUCAGAAAGCCACGGCUAACUACGUGCCAGCAGCCGCGGUAAUACGUAGGUGGCAAGCGUUAUCCGGAAUUAUUGGGCGUAAAGCGCGCGUAGGCGGUUUUUUAAGUCUGAUGUGAAAGCCCACGGCUCAACCGUGGAGGGUCAUUGGAAACUGGAAAACUUGAGUGCAGAAGAGGAAAGUGGAAUUCCAUGUGUAGCGGUGAAAUGCGCAGAGAUAUGGAGGAACACCAGUGGCGAAGGCGACUUUCUGGUCUGUAACUGACGCUGAUGUGCGAAAGCGUGGGGAUCAAACAGGAUUAGAUACCCUGGUAGUCCACGCCGUAAACGAUGAGUGCUAAGUGUUAGGGGGUUUCCGCCCCUUAGUGCUGCAGCUAACGCAUUAAGCACUCCGCCUGGGGAGUACGACCGCAAGGUUGAAACUCAAAGGAAUUGACGGGGACCCGCACAAGCGGUGGAGCAUGUGGUUUAAUUCGAAGCAACGCGAAGAACCUUACCAAAUCUUGACAUCCUUUGACAACUCUAGAGAUAGAGCCUUCCCCUUCGGGGGACAAAGUGACAGGUGGUGCAUGGUUGUCGUCAGCUCGUGUCGUGAGAUGUUGGGUUAAGUCCCGCAACGAGCGCAACCCUUAAGCUUAGUUGCCAUCAUUAAGUUGGGCACUCUAAGUUGACUGCCGGUGACAAACCGGAGGAAGGUGGGGAUGACGUCAAAUCAUCAUGCCCCUUAUGAUUUGGGCUACACACGUGCUACAAUGGACAAUACAAAGGGCAGCGAAACCGCGAGGUCAAGCAAAUCCCAUAAAGUUGUUCUCAGUUCGGAUUGUAGUCUGCAACUCGACUACAUGAAGCUGGAAUCGCUAGUAAUCGUAGAUCAGCAUGCUACGGUGAAUACGUUCCCGGGUCUUGUACACACCGCCCGUCACACCACGAGAGUUUGUAACACCCGAAGCCGGUGGAGUAACCUUUUAGGAGCUAGCCGUCGAAGGUGGGACAAAUGAUUGGGGUGAAGUCGUAACAAGGUAGCCGUAUCGGAAGGUGCGGCUG